AACGGCGAGUGAAGCGGCAAAAGCUCAAAUUUGAAAUCUGGCUCCUUAGGGGUCCGAGUUGUAAUUUGUAGAGGAUGCUUCGGGUGCGGCCACGGCCUAAGUUCCUUGGAACAGGACGUCAUAGAGGGUGAGAAUCCCGUCUUGGGUCGUUGGUCCACGCCCGUGUGAAGCUCCUUCGACGAGUCGAGUUGUUUGGGAAUGCAGCUCUAAGCGGGUGGUAAAUUUCAUCUAAAGCUAAAUAUUGGCCGGAGACCGAUAGCGCACAAGUAGAGUGAUCGAAAGGAUAAAAGCACCUUGAAAAGGGAGUUAAACAGCACGUGAAAUUGUUGAAAGGGAAGCGCUUGCGGCCAGACUCGAGCGCGGGGCUCAUCGGGUGCGUGUCACCCGUGCACUCCCCGCCGCUCGGGCCAGCAUCAGUUCUGACGGCCGGUCAAAGGCCCCCGGAAUGUGUCGUCUCUCGGGACGUCUUAUAGCCGGGGGUGCAAUGCGGCCCGCCGGGACUGAGGAACGCGCUUCGGCUCGGAUGCUGGCAUAAUGGCCGUAAGCGGCCCGUCUUGAAACACGGACCAAGGAGUCUAACAUCCACGCGAGUGUUCGGGUGUCAAACCCGUGCGCGCAGUGAAAGCGAACGGAGGUGGGAGCCUUAGGGCGCACCAUCGACCGAUCCUGAAGUCUUCGGAUGGAUUUGAGUAGGAGCGUGGCCGUUGGGACCCGAAAGAUGGUGAACUAUGCCUGAAUAGGGUGAAGCCAGAGGAAACUCUGGUGGAGGCUCGCAGCGGUUCUGACGUGCAAAUCGAUCGUCAAAUUU
rnacentral:rRNA from 2 species